rnacentral:lncRNA from 1 species
UAUGUAGACUUCUUUUGUAUAUGUGUCUCUGUGUCCUGUUGGAAGAAAAGAGGGAAAAGAGGGAGGAAGGGAGGGGGAAAGGAAGAACAGAUGAGGAAGGAGAAGAGAUCUGAGGGAAGAGUUGCUGCAGCCGUGGGUGGCCCCCAGGAGGCCUGGCAGGCCAGGCCACUGUAGGAGCAAUUUAUAGCCAAGAAGUAAUUGAACAGAUUCAUAUUUGACCACAAGCCCAGACAGAGUCCCGGAUUCUUGCUGCUUGAGAAGCUCAUUAAAAAGAGGAACGAGAAUAAGGCAGCAGACCGGGGGACGGGGCUUUAUCCAGAGCCGGGGACUUUUCUGAAGCCCAAAGUCGAGGGAAUCCAGCAUUUCACCCCGUGAACUGCGGCGUGGAGGGUUCUCUCGGCAAUGACCCUGCUAGAGUACGGAUGAGGAAGGUCCUAAACCCUGGAACUUGCAGGGUCAUGAAGCCUACCUGGUCUUGA